UGUUUGCGGUAUGUUUGGAGAACAAACAAUACUGCUUCAGAUGGCAGCCUGACCAGAGCCAUCGAUGGUCUACGGACCCUCAAUCAACACUCCUUGUGGGACAGCUGGAUGGACGUUUUUGGCUUUAAUCAGUAGAUUAAUCACCACAGCAAUUACCCACAUGGAACCGUAUGGAGCAGAUGUGAUUACGAUGUUUAAACUACAACAUUCAUGUAUGAGAAGUUUACUCUGAGUGUAAAUGUAUUUGUUUCAUAAAAAUGAUUCUACAGUUAAAAAAUCGAAAUGAAGUGACUGCAAAAUGAUAUGAGAAUUUGUGCAAAUACAUGAUUAACAGGAGGGAAAUGUUAAAUAUAUUGUAGAAGUUAUCAUUUAUUUGCUUAGCUUGCAUUAG